CAACUUUCAAGAAUGGGAGUGGCAGAGGGACCACAACGGUGGAGACAUGAGGGGUUUUGAAGAGGCGACCGGACUCAAGAAUACUUAUUGACACGGUGAGUGAAGAGUCGUGCUAUUGAUUUUUUCCAACUGUUUUACAAUGAUUCUGUGUUUGAACAGAUUAUCUGGGCGAUGAAUGAGAAUGCAGCCUACACGUGAACGAGCGAUCACAACAACAACAAAGAUCAAUCUGUGAUAUCUUCCCUGUGAUGUCAUUCUUAUAGUAGCUGUGGUUCAAUGUUCAGAUGUGCAUGAAGAGAAUUUACCUGUAACAACUGGGAUUAGCUGUGCCGUCCAAGAUGACAAGACCACCGUGUUAUGUUUACCUUGUAUCUGUGAUUUAUUUUUGUGAUAUUUAAUACAUUUUGAGCUAAUUUUCAUUGUCUGUUAUCAUUUUUU